CGUAGGGGGCAAGCGUUGUCCGGAUUUAUUGGGCGUAAAGCGCUCGCAGGUGGUUCGUCGCGUCGUGCGUGAAAGACCCCGGCUCAACUGGGGAGGGUCGUGCGAUACGGGCGGACUGGAGGCCAGUAGGGGGAUGCGGAAUUCCGGGUGUAGUGGUGGAAUGCGUAGAGAUCCGGAGGAACACCAGCGGCGAAGGCGGCAUCCUGGACUGGUCCUGACACUCAGGAGCGAAAGCGUGGGGAGCGAUCCGGAUUAGAUACCCGGGUAGUCCACGCUGUAAACGAUGCGCACUAGGUGUCGGGGGUAUCGACCCCCUCGGUGCCGCAGCUAACGUGAUAAGUGCGCCGCCUGGGGACUACGGCCGCAAGGCUA
rnacentral:rRNA from 1 species